rnacentral:misc_RNA from 2 species
AACGCACAUUGCGCCCGGCAGUAAUCUGCCGGGCAUGCCUGUCCGAGCGUCAUUUCACCCCUCGAGCCGCUUUUAGUGGAUCGGUGUUGGGGCACUACGGUAAAACGUAGGCCCCGAAAUGAAGUGGCGGUCCCGCCGCGGUGCCCCCAUGCGUAGUAACGUUUAGUCUCGCAUCGGGUCCCGGCGGAGGCCUGCCGUCAAGCCUAUUUAUUCUUAGAAUAGUUUGACCUCGGAUCAGGUAGGGUUACCCGCUGAACUUAA